GGAAUAUUGGACAAUGGGCGAAAGCCUGAUCCAGCAAUGCCGCGUGAGUGAUGAAGGCCUUAGGGUUGUAAAGCUCUUUUACCAGGGAUGAUAAUGACAGUACCUGGAGAAUGAGCUCCGGCUAACUCCGUGCCAGCAGCCGCGGUAAUACGGAGGGAGCUAGCGUUGUUCGGAAUUACUGGGCGUAAAGCGCACGUAGGCGGCGACUCAAGUCAGAGGUGAAAGCCCGGGGCUCAACCCCGGAACUGCCUUUGAAACUAGGUUGCUAGAAUCUUGGAGAGGUCAGUGGAAUUCCGAGUGUAGAGGUGAAAUUCGUAGAUAUUCGGAAGAACACCAGUGGCGAAGGCGACUGACUGGACAAGUAUUGACGCUGAGGUGCGAAAGUGUGGGAAGCAAACAGGAUUAGAUACCCCUG
rnacentral:rRNA from 1 species